UACGAAGGGGGCUAGCGUUGCUCGGAAUCACUGGGCGUAAAGCGCACGUAGGCGGCUUUUUAAGUCAGGGGUGAAAUCCUGGAGCUCAACUCCAGAACUGCCUUUGAUACUGAGAAGCUUGAGUCCGAGAGAGGAUGGCGGAAUUCCUAGUGUAGAGGUGAAAUUCGUAGAUAUUAGGAAGAACACCAGUGGCGAAGGCGGCCAUCUGGCUCGGUACUGACGCUCAGGCGCGAAAGCGUGGGGAGCAAACAGG
rnacentral:rRNA from 1 species